GAGACACCCCUAUGGAGCAGGACUUGCUUCAGUGAGGCUUUGAUGGUCACUGAGUCUGCCCCUUGAGUGUGUCGAU
rnacentral:pre_miRNA from 1 species